GUGGAGAUUGAACUCUUGAAGUGUUGCUGCUAGUAUGAAGAGCUGAAAUUUAAUCCCAUCAAUUACAUAAGUAUGGAUUGCAGAGGUCUUCACUGCUUGGAAGAGUUUGGCCUCUCUAAGAUGGAGUCACGGCAGCAGUGAGCAAGAUAUGGGAAGCUGACAUUAUCCUCAGUUACUGGACAUAGCUCUGGGGCCCCUGGCUUCCUGAUGAGUGAGAUCUUUCUUCCCCAUUAAAAGCUAGACUGGUUUCUG